rnacentral:rRNA from 1 species
UAGGGAAUAUUGCACAAUGGGCGAAAGCCUGAUGCAGCAACGCCGCGUGCGCGAAGAAGGUCUUCGGAUCGUAAAGCGCUUUUCUGGGAGAUGAGAAAGGACAGUAUCCCAGGAAUAAGUCUCGGCUGACUACGUGCCAGCAGCCGCGGUAACACGUAGGAGGCGAGCGUUAUCCGGAUUCACUGGGCGUAAAGCGCGUGCAGGCGGUUCGGUAAGUUGGGCGUGAAAUCUCCCGGCUCAGCUGGGAGAGGUCGUUCAAUACUACCGGACUUGAGAGCGAUAGAGGAAAAUGGAAUUCCCGGUGUAGUGGUGAAAUGCGUAGAUAUCGGGAGGAACACCAGUGGCGAAAGCGAUUUUCUGGAUCGUUUCUGACGCUCAGACGCGAAAGCUAGGGUAGCAAACGGGAUUAGAAACCCGAGUAG